UGGAUGACUGUUUUUGUCUUUUUACAUAAUAAUUAAACUUAUAGCUUAAUAAUUUAAGAAUUAUGGUGAACAAAGAGAAGUUCGAGGUUUAAAUAUAAAAUCUCUUUCCCAAUCUCAUAUGGCUCUCUCUUGAAAGCAUUCCUUUUUCUUAUCUAAUCUCAGCCUGCAACUUGCAAGCCUAAACCUCAUCAUUCACAAUCCGACCCGGACCCCCUUUUUUCCCCACCCUCUAUUUGAAGUCUGGUCCCUAAACCCUCCUCAGACGGCCCCGUUUUAUCAUCACCAAUUCCCUCGGCUCAGCUCGGCAUUCAACCAUAACCAUUAUCGAAUCCCUUACGCUUCUCAUUGUUUGAUAUUCGAUUCCAGGUUUCUUAAUCCCAAUUGGUUUGGUAGUUUGAUAUUCGAUUCCACCGCCUUUUCCAUCUAAAAAAUCAAGGUACACAGAAUUCCGGGUCCCUCGCCUCCCUCUAAACCUCCCGUCUCAGAACACGAUUCUCUCUCGUCCCAAAAACCCAGUUGCCAGAAGCAGGAGCAGCAGUUGUUGAUUCUCAGAAGUGUAUUUACAAAUUGGGAGUUGAUUCUCAGGUGGGCGUAGGCCAAUGGUUUAUGAUGUUGAGAGGCAGAAUAGGGAUUGGACGAAGCUUCGGUACGAGCUUGAGGUUGGGAUCAAUCCUCUAAAUUGCGAUUCCUGGAGUCGUUACAUACGGCUAGAAGAAGAUAGUGCUCUAGCUCUAGCCCAUAACCACAGAAUUAGAGAGCUCUAUUCCAGAGCUUUAGCUCAUGUUCCUCCGCUUUGCAAGCUGCUUUGGAAGCGCUAUGUUGAUUUGUGGAUCGACUAUGCAUGGUAUGAGGAAUUUGUUGCUCCUGGAGGAGAUCUCGUGGAAUGAACCAGACAAGGGUAUAGGCAGUGCCUUGAAUUGAUUCCUCAUACCAAGUUUUCGUUUGUGAAAGCAUGGCUUCAUGCCACCCAGUUUGAGAUUCGACAGUUGAAUCUCGAGGGGGCGCGCAAGAUCCUUGGUGCGUCAAGAGACUGUGCACUUAAAGCUGCAAUAUUUGACAAGUACAUAGAGAUGGAGCUGACACUUGGGAAUGUAGAUCGAUGUCGGAAACUGUAUGAGAAUUAUCUGGAUUGGUCACCACGUAAUAGCAAUACAUGGGUCAAAUACGCAGAGCUAGAGAAGACUCUAGGUGAGGAAGAACGAGCAAGGGGGAUUUUCGAAAUUGCCCUUGGGCAGUCGCAACUUAACAAGCCUGGAUUGUUGUGGAAGGCUUACAUUAACUUUGAGAGAUGAGAGGGUGAGGUUGAGAGAGCUAGACAGAUUUACGAGAGACUCCUAGACCGGAUACAGCACCAAAAUGUGUGGCUUAGGUAUGCAAAAUUUGAGGCACAAGGUCAUCAAUCCAAGGAUUCUCUUGUUGCACAAGAAAGAGAGGAACAAUGUGCAUGCAUUCAGCGUUGUAGAGGAGUUUUCGAGAGAGCUGUCCAGUACUUGGAUAUGAAUAAAUUGAAGGUAGAAAGGUUGAUGUUGCUAAAAGAAUGGUUGAUAAUGGAGGCUAGCUUUGGGGAUAUGGGUGAUGUUAGCCUAGUCAAAGCUAAGUUUCCAAUUAAUUCAAUGCGAAGAGGAAGAGGCCUUGCAUCCACUCUCCCAUCCCCUCUCCAUCUCCGUUGUUCUCAUCAAUACUUGUCCAGAAAGUAAUCAUCCUUUAAAUUCAAUGCUUGUUUACAUUUUUGUUUA